AUUGAACGCUGGCGGCAUGCUUUACACAUGCAAGUCGAACGGCAGCGCGGGGGCAACCCUGGCGGCGAGUGGCGAACGGGUGAGUAAUGCAUCGGAACGUAUCCUGUAAUGGGGGAUAACUAAGCGAAAGAUUAGCUAAUACCGCAUACGCUCGGGAGAGGAAAGUGGGGGAUCGCAAGACCUCACGUUAUAGGAGCGGCCGAUGUCUGAUUAGCUAGUUGGUGAGGUAAAGGCUCACCAAGGCGACGAUCAGUAGCUUGUCUUAGAGGAUGAUCAGCCACACUGGGACUGAGACACGGCCCAGACUCCUACGGGAGGCAGCAGCGGGGAAUUUUGGACAAUGGGGGCAACCCUGAUCCAGCCAUGCCACGUGCGGGAAGAAGGCCUUCGGGUUGUAAACCGCUUUAGUCUAGGAAAAAGGAAUGCAGGAUUAAUACCCUUGUGUUUUGAUGGUACUGGAAGAAUAAGCACCGGCUAACUACGUGCCAGCCGCCGCUGUAAGAC
rnacentral:rRNA from 1 species